CCCUGCACACACUGCAAACGGCCCUGAAUCUUCGUCGCGUCGCUUGAUUGCAUUUGACCUCUUGUUUUCAACAAAACUGUGGAGGAACUCCGGCUGUUUGGGCCAUGGAGGGUGCACCAAAAGAUCCAGCUCAGCCUGUGAAGGUGCCAAUGAUCUACAUAUGUGGUGAGUGCCACCAGGAAAACGAAAUUCGUCCCAGAGAUCCCAUUCGUUGCAGGGAGUGUGGCUACAGGAUCAUGUACAAGAAACGUACCAAGCGUUUGAUUGUUUUUGAUGCAAGAUGAAGACAAGAAGAUGGAGCUUGUGAUGUACAUAAAUUUUGCAUUCUCAUUUUUAUUCAAUAAAUAAAUGAGUGACCCUGUAGGCUGUAA